AGCUUUCACCAAGCAAAUACACAUGGUUUGUGGUUUACUUGUGUAGGAAUACACUUGGUCCUCAAGCUUGGCUACUUAAGAAAACCACAGAAAAGGCCAUCUUGAAGUUAACAUCUGUGCACAGGAUGGGACUUCUUAUCUGCUUUAAGCUCCACUAUCUCAAGCUGGACAAUCUCUUCCCAUCUUACAUGGCUUUGACAUUAAAGAAGAGUUGGAAAAUAAGAGGAAACCAACAUGAAGAGUUUAGAGGAGGGAAUUUUAUCUUGGGAAAGCCCUCAACAACCAUCCAAGCUAAAGUGGCAAGUGCAUGAACAACUGAAACUACAGAAAACAGCAGCCAUGUAACUUUUCCUUCAUUUAUUAGAUGCAGAACAUGGGUGGUUUUAAUUGCCAGCUUAUGUACUUUCUCUGUGUUGUGGCUGUCCUUUGGAUUCCCCCAAAUUGUUUCUGCCAUGGUCCAUGCUGCUAAAGGGUGUUGUAGGGUUGAACGCUUCACUUUGUCUAUGAUUUUGGCAUAUCCGAAGGACAGUUCAUCUUCUCCACAGAAGACAGCUGAGGAGCGUUCUUGUUAUUGAUUGAUCUUCCUUGAAAUGCCACCUGAUGCGGGAGGCUUCAUGUGGCAGCUUGAGUGCAACUUUCUAGGGCCUGUGUCAAACCAGCCCACCAGUUGCCCACAGCUUGGUGAGCUUAGCACCAAAAUAAAGAAGAUGAUGAAGAAGCAGAAGCACUCAGCCAGGUUUUCUUAAUCCUCUGGAAGGAGCAUGCAGAUACUAGGAAAGCUACCAAUCUCCACCAAGGUCCCAUGAACUAUAAAAGGUAGAAAUAUGGACAAGCUGUGAAAUAAAUAAUUGGGAUCUACGUAUGUAACAUGUUCAAAGGCAAUAAAAAAAAAACAUGCACAAA